rnacentral:lncRNA from 1 species
GUGUGACUGCUGUUUCCUGUCGUGCUCUCACCGUACGCUCGUCAGGGUAUCAGCUGUUACUCAUUGGUAGUGUACGUCGGCUUCAUCCUCAUGGCCGUGCCCACCACUCUCCUCUAUUUCCUUCCACACUGCGCGAGAUCAGGGAAUGAGCUUGAUAUAACUGACUCCUGGUGUUUACUAAAGAGAGCCAAGCAACAGGGUAGAUCCUCUGAGAAGGCUCUGGAGGUUUGGAGCAGUCUGGAGAUUUGCAAUUUGGAGCAAUGUGGAGAUCAGCAAAACCUGUGAGUAUGUUGUUUUGUAUUUUAUUUUGUGUAGAUAUUUCUACAGAAGGAUUCCUUAUCAAGGAACA